UAGAGUUUGAUCCUGGCUCAGGACGAACGCUGGCGGCGUGCUUAACACAUGCAAGUGGAGCGACGAACCGGGCUUCGGCCCGGGGCAAAGCCGCGAACGGGUGAGUAACACGUGGGCAAUCUGCCCUUCACUCUGGGACAAGCCCUGGAAACGGGGUCUAAUACCGGAUAACACUUCCUCGGGCAUCUGAGGUGGUUAAAAGCUCCGGCGGUUUUGGAUGAGCGUGCGCCUGAUUAGGUAGUUGGCGGGGUAACGGCCCACCAAGCCUGCGAUCAGUAACUGGUGUGAGAGCACGACCAGUCACACGGGCACUGAGACACGGGCCCGACUCCUACGGGAGGCAGCAGUAAGGAAUAUUGGUCAAUGGACGCAAGUCUGAACCAGCCAUGCCGCGUGAAGGAUGAAGGUCCUCUGGAUUGUAAACUUCUUUUAUAUGGGACGAAACCUCUUUUUCUUGAGAGACUGACGGUACCAUAAGAAUAAGCACCGGCUAACUCCGUGCCAGCAGCCGCGGUACG
rnacentral:rRNA from 1 species